GAGUUUGAUCCUGGCUCAGAUUGAACGCUGGCGGCAUGCCUUACACAUGCAAGUCGAACGGCAGCACGGGAGCUUGCUCCUGGUGGGCGAGUGGCGAACGGGUGAGUAAUGCAUCGGAACGUAUCCUGGAGUGGGGGAUAACGUAGCGAAAGUUACGCUAAUACCGCAUAUUCUGUGAGCAGGAAAGCGGGGGACCUUCGGGCCUCGCGCUCUUGGAGCGGCCGAUGUCGGAUUAGGCUAGUUGGUGAGGUAAAGGCUCACCAAGGCGACGAUCCGUAGCAGGUCUGAGAGGAUGAUCUGCCACACUGGAACUGAGACACGGUCCAGACUCCUACGGGAGGCAGCAGUGGGGAAUUUUGGACAAUGGGGGCAACCCUGAUCCAGCCAUGCCGCGUGAGUGAAG
rnacentral:rRNA from 1 species